rnacentral:rRNA from 1 species
GACGAACGCUGGCGGCGUGCUUAACACAUGCAAGUCGAGCGGUAAGGCCCUUUCGGGGGUACGACGAGCGGCGAACGGGUGAGUAACACGUGGGUGACCUGCCCUUAGCUCUGGGAUAAGCCUGGGAAACUGGGUCUAAUGCCGGAUAUGACUCCAUGACGCAUGUUGUGGGGUGGAAAGCCUUGUGCGGCUAGGGAUGGGCCCGCGGCCUAUCAGCUUGUUGGUGGGGUGAUGGGCCACCAAGGCGACGACGGGUAGCCGGCCUGAGAGGGCGACCGGCCACACUGGGACUGAGACACGGCCCAGACUCCUACGGGAGGCAGCAGUGGGGAAUCUUGCGCAAUGGGCGAAAGCCUGACGCAGCGACGCCGCGUGAGUGAUGAAGGCCUUC